CUGUAAUUAUUCAUUUUUUAUUGGUUCAUAUGUCUUUCUCAUUAAUGUAUGAGGGGCACAAAAAGCAUAACCCGUUUCCUUACAGAUAUUUUUCUGGCAUGCCCCAUUCAUCUCCCAAGUGUUGAAGAGGGACUUCCCUGUGGCCCAGUGGUCACGGCUCCAUGUGUAGAGGGUGUGGGCUGUUGAGAUGUUUGAUGGUUUACUGACCUGCUAUAAAAUCUUUUGCUUGAUGAAUAGCUGCUAUGUGACUUUUGCAUGAAUGAUUUCCAACCUAAAUGAAUACCGAAUCUGCUCAAAAUCUGCGGGCCAAACAACUAUGAUGGUGUGAAGCACAAAUUGUUAAAUUGGUAUCAGAAUACAUGCUAAUUCAUACUAAAAACUGGAACAUUAAAUUUGGAAUUUCACUAUGGGAAAAAAAAAAAGGAUAUAACUUCCCCCCUCCACACACAUACUUAAACUAGAUAGGUCUUAUGUGUUGUAUGCACUGAAGCCUCCUUCUUUCAUCUUAAACUAUACAGGUAGGGGUGGGGGUAAGUGUUUUCUUUGAGUCAAAGUGUUACAGACUCUGGUGAGCCCUGAGAUAGUUUCUGUAUUUUAUCUACGAAAGCACUGACAUGAGAAAUGUACAUUC
rnacentral:lncRNA from 1 species